UUCAUUUAGAUCAUGCGAGAAUUUAGAGUUACCUCUUCGUGAACAUUGAUUCACCAAAAAAAUGACUGCUACAAUCUACUGAUUUCCAAAGUUAAUAACUAAUGUAUUAACUUUAAAGAGCCAUGAAUCCAAAACCGUGAACAAAACCUCGAACUCUAUACUCAAUUCACAAAACAAAACUCACUAGAUUUUUCUCUUUGCUUUUUCUACCAUUUUUUCUGUCUUAUUUUUUCUUUACUGUAGGUGUGUUUUUAUAAUCUUUUACGUUUUUCUUCUUCUUUUAUUUUUUUCUUUCAACAUUUGCGAUGCACCUCGAUCGAAUGUGAAACAAUGACGAACUGGUCCGCCAAUCAACUCGUGGUAUGGACCAGCGUGGAUUGAGAAGGAGGAAUGGGCAAAGCCCGGGCUCUCGAUACGCUUGUUGAAUGUCGUCUCCUUGAUUGUGGUUAGCAGCGUGCACCUCUGUUAUGCUUCGACAUCUGCGCGCUUCAGACACUGGCAUGUGAACUCCUCAUUUGACGUGUCUUGAACACGAACCAAGGAGUCUAACAUGUGUGCGAGUCAAUGAGCGAGUAAACCCGUAAGGCAUAAGGAAGUUGAUUGGUGGGAUCCCCCUGAGGGGUGAAUCGCCAACCGAUCUUGAUCUUCUGAGAAGGGUUCGAGUGUGAGCAUACCUAUCGAGACCUGAAAGAUGGUGAACUAUGCCUGAGCGCGGCGAAGCUAGAGGAAACUCUGGUGGAGGCCCGCAGUGAUACUGACAUGCAAAUCGUUCGUCUGACAUCGGUAUAGGAGUGAAAGACUAAUUCAACCGUCUAGUAGCUGGUUCCCUCCAAAGUUUCCAUCAUGAUAUCGGGUAAAGACAAUGAUUAGAGGUCUCGAGGGAACAAUGCCCUUGACCUAUUCUCAAACUUUAAAUAGGUAGGACUGCGCGAAUGCUUUGUUGAGUCGCGCCACGAAAUCAAGAGCUCCAAGUGGGCCAUUUUGGUAACCAUAACUGGCGAUGUAGGAUAAACCGGAAGUCGGGUUACGGUGCCAACUGUGUGCUAACCUAGAUCCCACAAAGGGUGUUGAUCGAUUAAGAUAGCAUGACGGUGGUCAUGAAAGUCGAAAUCUGCUAAGGACUGUGUAACAACUCACCUGUCGAUAAAAUAGAUCUGUAUCUUCGGGAAAAGGAUUGUGUCUUAGGAAUAGGCAUGGGGUCCCAGUCUUGAACCCGUUAGCUAUCAGUGGACUGCUCGAGCUGCUCCUGCAGCUACAGCGAGUCACCGCAUGCCGACCAGGGGACGGACUGGGAACAGUUCCUUCGAGGGCCUACCCCAGGCAUCAAACAGCAACCUCAGAACCGGUACGAACAAGGGGAAUUCAAUUCUUUAAUUAAAACAAAACAUUUCGAUGGUCCCAACAAUUGUUUACGCAAUGUGAUUUCUUCCCAGUGCUCAGAAUGUCAAAGUGAAGAAAUUCAACCAAGCGCUGGUAAACGGCGGGAGUAACUAUGACUCUUUUAAGGUAGCCAAAUGCCUACUCAUCUAAUUAGUGACACACAUGAAUGGUUAAUGAGAUUACCAUUGUCCCUGUCUACUAUCCAGCGAAACCACAUCCAAGGGAAUGGGCAUGGCAGAAUCAGCGGGGAAAGAAGACCCUAUUGAGCUUGACUCUAGUCCGACUUUGUGAAAUGACUUGAGAGGUGUAGUAUAAGUGGGAGCCGAAAGGCGAAAGUGAAAUACCACUACUUUUAACGUUAUUUUACUUAUUCCGUGACGACUCUAGUCCAACUUUGUGAAAUGACUUGAGAGAUGUAGUAUAAGUGGGAGCUGAAAGACGAAAAGAGGGGCACUGCCCCUCUUUUUGGACCCAAUGCUCGCUUCACGGUCUCAUAUGGGCGAAAGACAUUAUCAUGUGAGGAGUUAGGCUAGGGCGGCACAUCUAUUAACGAGAACAUAAAUCUUGUGUGGAAUAGAAGGGUAAAAGCUCGUUUAAUUCUGAUUUCUAGUACGAAUAUGAACUGUGAAAGUGUGGCGUAACAAUCCUUUAGACCUUCAGAAUUCGAAGCUAGAGGUGUCAGAAAAGUUAACACAAGGAUAACUAGGUUGUGGCAGCCAAGCAUUCAUAGCGACGUUGCUUUUUGAUCCUUCAAUGUCAUCUCUUCCUAUGAUUGUGUAGUAGAAUUCACAAGUGUUGGAUUGUUCACCCACCAAUAGGGAACGUGAGAUGGGUUUAGAACAUCGUAACACAUGUUAGUUUUACCCUACUAAUGAUAGUACGAGAGGAACUGUUGAUUCACACAACUGGUCAUCGCGCUUGGUUGAAAAGUCGGUGGCGCGAAGCUACCAUGUGAUGGAUUAUGAUUGAAUGCCUCUAAGUCAGAAUCUGAUCUAGAAGCGACGCAUGCGCCAACCUUCUGCUUGUCGACCUAUAGUAGGGGCCUUUGGCCCCCAAGGGCACAUGUUGUUGGCUAAGUCGCCGCAACAGAAGCGUCGUGGUUACUGCCUUGAAGUACAAUUUCUAUCGAGCGGCGGGUAGAAUCCUAUGCAGAUGACUUAAAUACGCGAUGGGGUAUUGUAAGUGGCAGAGUGGCCUUGCUGCCACAAUCCACUAAGAUUCAGCCCUUUGUCACUAUGAUUCGU
rfam:Solanum tuberosum cultivar DM 1-3 516 R44 scf00117_2, whole genome shotgun sequence.